GUACUCUCUGAAGGUCACUUCGCGCACGGGUUGGACCUGGGGCAGGUUGGAAGAGUAGGAGUAUGUCAUUGGGCGCGAAGACGGGGUCUGGGGCAGAAAAGAAGGGAGGCUGGAGAAAUCUGGACCCGAGACGUACUGCCUCUUUGAAGCGGAUCCGUGAAGUAGAAAUUUGGAGACGUAAGCUGACGUGGAAAUCUAUCCCCAUCCUUAGCAGGGAGGUGCUGGUCAUGUGACCCGAUGUUGAAAUUGACAAGCUGCGAGCUGGUCCGGGCCUUUUUUUUUUUUUUUUUUUUUUCCCCUUUCCUUCCCCCCCCCCCCCUCCCCGGCUUCCUUUCUUUGUAGCCACCUCAGGGGAAGCAACAGAUCGUCACUCGGUGUUCUCACCGAAAGCACGUAAUCGCCGGUGUAACUCAUGUUGGCUGGGGGGCCUCCCGGCGCGCGGCAAGGCUGAGGUGCGCCCCAUGCCGCUCGCUUGUGCUCAGCUGCACGGUGCUGGCCCUCAAGUGCUCCGAGGGCGGUGAGAGAGCUCAACUCCUGCCACCCAUCACUCCCCGGUCAUCUGCAGGUCCCGGAAGGGCCUUCGUCUUACCCGGGAUCCACCUCCACUUCAUCCUCCCUGCCGACCUCCUCACUUCACCCCCUGCCCUUGAAGAAACCUCUUCCUCCUCGCUGCCUGCCGGGGGGUUCGGAGUUGCUCGGCGGAGCCAGAGGCGUGGGGGCUGCGCCACUGUGCACGGGUCCGCCCGCCUGCCUGGUCUUCUGGAGCUGAGGACUCGGGAAACCAUGCAGUGGAGGCGAGCCUUGGGCUGCUUAGAGGCGCUGACAUCCGAGGAGCCUUUUCCUGGGUAUGCUGCACCUUCCGGGGGCCCACUAGGCUGCCAGCGGAGCUGCAGAGCUGAAGGAAGGUGGGAGCAGUGAGGAAGGAGGCUAGGGCCAGGGAGCUGUGGCUGAGAAAGGGGUAACACGCCUCCUCUCCUUCCUUGCAAAGCGUGAGAGCCAGUGAUGUGCAAGCAGAAACUGAGAAGGCUCCGCGCCUUUUCUGCCUCUCAUCCCACAGAAGGAACACAAUGCUAAAGAAAAGAGCCAUGCUUCCCAAACCCCCGGCACCGUGGGUGACAAGAACGCCCUGAAAUGGCUAGGUUUGAGCCAAAGACAGAGACAGGGGUCAUAACUGCUAGUAGGAGUCUAGCUUUCUUGGGAAAAGGAAAGAAAAAAACAUUAAGAUGGUGAAAAAUGCUUGCCAUCCUGCAGGAUUGAAUGAUCGUCGUUUGGGAGAAGUGAAAGAAGAGGGCAUAGAGCAGCCAGGCAGGACUGGGGACUGGGAGGGGCCCAGAAGCCUUCCCACACCUAUCUUCUUGGAAGGAGCUGGACGUCACUGAAGGAAAGUCGAAAAAUGAAAAAGGAUAACCUUUUCCCUUUCCCCAUCGAGGAAAUAGCUGAAGGAGACCCAACAGCCGGAGGGAGCCCACCCGGCUCAGGGGAAGACCUGACGGGUGCUAAGCCCACCCUGGAAAGCCAAGUCCGAGAUGCAUUUCUUGAGGAGAUCGGGUGGGCAAGGCUAUGACAUUGGCCCUGGCGGCUGGUUGUCCGUGAACUGUUCUUUCUCAGGAGCUCCACAGCGCGGGGCCAUCUCCAGAAAACAGUCUUCAGCAUGUAUUUCCUUUUAUCCUCAACCCAGAACCCCACGGCAGCUAAUGCAAAAGGCCAAAAAUGUUUUGGAGGAAGAAAAACAAAGGCAGGAAGUGGCGGUGGCCUGACAGUGCGCGUGUGUCUGCGGAGAAGGGAGGGAGCCUUUUCAAUCUCUUCUAGUUGUUUUUCCAAACUUCAAGGUCUAGGCAGCCCUCGCAGGGCCGGGCCCUUUCGCUCCCCAAGCAGCGUUUGGAGAUGGCCACCCGGAGAGGAGAAAGCUCGCGCCCGCGCCAGCUUUGUCAAGCGGAAACGGCUAACGAGGCGAUUUGCUCAGCAAAGCAGACCAAGCCUUUGCAAGGCUCCGUUUGAUUUGGCCCUAAAUCGGAGGAGGGGGGUUUGAAGGGUUCGGCAGUACCUCCUGGAUUCUCCUUGCUGGGACUGAGUGCGCCCUGGUGGGGAUGAUUUCUGUGUCCUGCGCUCCACUCACCUUCCCAGCCAAGAUACUGGAAUAAAUUGUGUCCAGGUGCCUCUGCCCA